UACGUAGGGUGCGAGCGUUGUCCGGAAUUACUGGGCGUAAAGAGCUCGUAGGUGGUUUGUCGCGUCGUCUGUGAAAUUCCGGGGCUUAACUCCGGGAGUGCAGGCGAUACGGGCAUAACUUGAGUACUGUAGGGGAGACUGGAAUUCCUGGUGUAGCGGUGAAAUGCGCAGAUAUCAGGAGGAACACCGGUGGCGAAGGCGGGUCUCUGGGCAGUAACUGACGCUGAGGAGCGAAAGCAUGGGUAGCGAACAGGAUUAGAUACCCUGGUA
rnacentral:rRNA from 1 species